ACGAUUGAGUUGGAAUGGAAUACCCCAUCGUUAUCGUGCCGACGCCUGGAAAAUCAUGCUUGGGUACGUUCCCGUCA
rnacentral:ribozyme from 1 species